rnacentral:rRNA from 1 species
UACGUAGGGUGCGAGCGUUGUCCGGAAUUAUUGGGCGUAAAGAGCUCGUAGGCGGUGUGUCGCGUCGGCCGUGAAAACCUGGGGCUUAACUCUGGGCGUGCGGUCGAUACGGGCAUCACUAGAGUUCGGCAGGGGAGACUGGAAUUCCUGGUGUAGCGGUGAAAUGCGCAGAUAUCAGGAGGAACACCAGUGGCGAAGGCGAGUCCCUGGACAACACCUGACACUGAGGCACGAAAGCUAGGGGAGCAAACGGG